UGCCAGCCGCCGCGGUAAUACAGAGGGUGCGAACGUUGCUCGGAAUUACUGGGCGUAAAGCGCACGUAGGCGGACUUUUAAGUCAGAUGUGAAAUCCCAAGGCUCAACCUUGGAACUGCAUUUGAAACUGGGAGUCUAGAGAUCAGGAGAGGUUAGUGGAAUACCGAGUGUAGAGGUGAAAUUCGUAGAUAUUCGGAGGAACACCAGUGGCGAAGGCGGCUCACUGGCUCGAUACUGACGCUGAGGUACGAAAGUGUGGGGAGCAAACAGGAUUAGAUA
rnacentral:rRNA from 1 species